rnacentral:rRNA from 1 species
UACGUAGGGGGCAAGCGUUGUCCGGAUUAUUGGGCGUAAAGAGCGUGUAGGCGGCCAGAUAGGUCAGCUGUGAAAACUCGAGGCUCAACCUCGAGACGUCGGUUGAAACCAUUUGGCUAGAGUCCGGAAGAGGAGAGUGGAAUUCCCGGUGUAGCGGUGAAAUGCGCAGAUAUCGGGAAGAACACCCGUGGCGAAGGCGGCUCUCUGGACCGAGACUGACGCUGAGGCGCGAAAGCGUGGGGAGCAAACAGG